GUGUUGUAUGAAAGGAGAGAAGAUUAGCUCUCCCCGCUGACCAGGAUAUGGAAGAGGCUCUCGGGCCUGACAACAUGCCUGUGGUUAAGGCAUGGCCACCUACUUCACGGCAUCUAGCCAUUAUUUUCU
ensembl:snRNA